CUUCCUUGCUGCUCUCUGUCUCUGGUGACAGACCAGCAUGCUCAACUUUAGAAACGACCGAAACAACAAAUUUCCUCAUUAGGAAAUUGGAGGUAUGUUUGGAAGGGGGAAAGGGAAGGAGUUAAAUCCAGAGGUUUAUUUUAGCAGAUUGUUUGAAAAGGAAAAUAGCCACAGAACAUAAUAUUUUUCAUCUCUUCAUAAUUUAGGAACAAAGAGUUGGAACCUGCAACUGCAGUGAGAAUGCCACCAACUGUUUAUGUCUUCCUGUCCCAUCAGACAGCUGCAUCACUUCAUGUUUUCAUGAUGGGCUGAGGAAGAUGAGCCAGGCUCUGCCUAUAAUUAACAGAGUCGACCUACAGAGGGUGAAUACUUCCAUUCAGAUUCUGCAGAUUCUCCAGUGCAAACCCUUCUCUUGUAAGGAGUCCUGCAAUGCCACGGAUACAGGCAACAUGGUGGAGUUUCUCUAUGCCAUCCAGGGGAAUCUCCAGAAAGCCGGACGCGGAGAAUGAGCAAGCAACAUUGUUAUUUAUCUUAUUUAUUAUCCAAUUUUGUAAAUUGAAGUACAAUAAUUCACAUUAAAAGUGAAAAUAAGAACCAACGCAAGACCUGAAAGCCAGAAACCU